rnacentral:rRNA from 1 species
UGCCAGACUCCUACGGGAGGCAGCAGUGAGGAAUAUUGGUCAAUGGGCUUACGCCUGAACCAGCCAAGUCGCGUGAGGGAAGACUGCCCUAUGGGUUGUAAACCUCUUUUGUCAGGGAGCAACGCCGGCUACGUGUAGCCGGACUGAGAGUACCUGAAGAAAAAGCAUCGGCUAACUCCGUGCCAGCAGCCGCGGUAAUACGGAGGAUGCGAGCGUUAUCCGGAUUUAUUGGGUUUAAAGGGUGCGUAGGCGGGCUGUUAAGUCAGCGGUAAAAGCGCGGGGCUCACCCCCGGCGAGCCGUUGAAACUGGCUGUCUUGAGAUGUCGAGAGGUAUGCGGAAUGCGCAGUGUAGCGGUGAAAUGCUUAGAUAUUGCGCAGAACUCCGAUUGCGAAGGCAGCAUACCGGCGGCGAUCUGACGCUGAGGCACGAAAGCGUGGGUAUCGAACAGGAUUAGAUACCCCGGUA